rnacentral:rRNA from 1 species
AACGAACGCUGGCGGCGUGUUUAAGACAUGCAAGUCGCACGGGAUAAGACAUGUAGUAAUACUUGUUUUAUUUAGUGGCGCACGGGUGAGUAACACGUGAAUUACAUGCCCUAUAGUGGGGAAUAGCCCAGGGAAACUUGGAUUAAUACCCCAUGGUAUCGAAAGAUUAAAGGUGGCCGCAAGGCUGUCGCUAUAGGAUUGGUUCGCGCCCUAUCAGCUUGUUGGUGAGGUAACGGCUCACCAAGGCAAUGACGGGUACCUGGUCUGAGAGGACGAUCAGGCACACUGGAACUGAGACACGGUCCAGACACCUACGGGUGGCAGCAGUCGAGAAUAAUUCACAAUGGGGGCAACCCUGAUGGUGCAACGCCGCGUGGAGGAUGACGGUCUUCGGAUUGUAAACUCCUGUCAUCUGGGAGAAAGACCUGACGGUAAAUAGCCGGCAGGGUUGAUAGUACCAGAAGAGGAAGGGACGGCUAACUUCGUGCCAGCCGCCGCCGUAA